UGGGGAAUAUUGGACAAUGGGCGAAAGCCUGAUCCAGCCAUGCCGCGUGUGUGAAGAAGGUCUUCGGAUUGUAAAGCACUUUAAGUUGGGAGGAAGGGCAUUAACCUAAUACGUUAGUGUUUUGACGUUACCGACAGAAUAAGCACCGGCUAACUUCGUGCCAGCAGCCGCGGUAAUACGAAGGGUGCAAGCGUUAAUCGAAUUACUGGGCGUAAAGCGCNCGNAGGUGGUUCGUUAAGUUGGAUGUGAAAAGCCCCCGGGGCUCAAACCCUGGGGAAACUGCAUCCAAAAACUGGCGAGCUAGAGUACGGUAGAGGGUGGUGGAAUUUCCUGUGUAGCGGUGAAAUGCGUAGAUAUAGGAAGGAACACCAGUGGCGAAGGCGACCACCUGGACUGAUACUGACACUGAGGUGCGAAAGCGUGGGGAGCAAAACAGGAUUAGAUACCCUGGUAGUCCACGCCGUAAAACGAUGUCAACUAGCCGUUGGGUUCCUUGAGAACUUAGUGGCGCAGCUAACGCAUUAAGUUGACCGCCUGGGGAGUACGGCCGCAAGGUUAAAACUCAAAGGAAUUGACGGGGUCAUAGCUGUUU
rnacentral:rRNA from 1 species